CAUAUGCAUUAAGACAGGAACUGGCAGGCCUCUGGACUACAGCAACUAUAGGGCUUGAGCUUUCCAACCGCCGGGCUAUAAUCUAUGAAACUGAGCCCAGAUCAGCCAAUCAGUUAGGUCCUCAUAACAAGUCUAACUGGCUCUGGAAAGCUGAAAGGGCUGCACUGGAGCACCGCAGAUGAAAUAUUCCACACAAGAAUCUGUUUAUCUAGAGUCCCUUUGCCUGGAAAGGGUCAGAGAAAAAUCACAGCUUCAUUGCCUGAGGGAAGGAGGACAGGUGAUCUGGCAGAGAUGAGUCUGAAGCUGGAGCAAGGUCUUCUGGCGAGGCAGUCCCAACCCAGCCGGCAUUAAAGGAUCAGAGCCACCCCAGACACCAAAGGCAAGGUACCAAGCACUACCAUGUAGAGGGUAAGGGCACGAAGCCUGGAGACAGACUAUCUUGGCUCAAAUCCAAGCUCUGGCUCUUCACCAUGAGACUUCGGGCAAGAUACCUAACAGCACUUUGCCUCAGUUUCCUCAUAUGUAAAAUGGGGUGUCCUACAAAGUAGCUACAUCUUAAGGUUGGUAAGAAGAUUCAACGAGAAAAUACCUGACCAGAACUGAGUCUAUUACAUGAAGAAUACAAUGCCUUCUCCUCUCGGGAUCAGACCAGUCCUGCAUGCAUAGCCCUGGACCAGGGAGAAUGUCAAGAAUUCACUUCUAUGUGCAGGGCUAUCACAUGGAGCACUGUACAGCCCUGUCCUGCCUCUGUGAUCUGUGAGUCUUCCUCUCUACAUCCAGAGUAUACCACCAUCAAGCAAGGAAGGAUUUCUCACUUAUUUAACCCUCCUAUAAUAAAACAAGAUGCUGUGCACAUCUCCUAAAAGGCAAUUUACCUAUAGGAACACAUUUGCAAUCAUCGACAACUGAAGAAGACAUGGCUUGCUCCAUGUCUGACAGUUCAUGGGACUUCAUUUUUAUUUAUUUAUGUUUCAUUGGGAUUAUAAACAUAAAAGUCAGAAGAAUGGAAGGAAAACAGAUUAUACAUGAAUCAUGCAUGUACUAGAAAAUAACCCAAGGGCCCUUAAACUUCAUGAGCAUAAGGAUUUCCAAAGGCAUUUGUUGACAUAGUAGAACCCUGGUUCCCACUACAGGACACUUGAUCCCAUGAGUCUAGAAUAGAGCCUGAGAAUCUACAUUUUCACUGCCCAGUCCCCAGCCAUUCCUAUAAAGUCAGUCAUUUGUGGGCUACUCCCUGAGAAACAUCAAGACCAUAUGUGUUAAGCCACUCAGCACAAAACCUGGAUCAUUACACAUUCUCAACACUUACUAGUUAUCAUUAUUAAGAAUCCAAAUCAGCCAAGCAUCAUGGCACAUGCCUUUAAUCCCAGCACUUGGGAGGCAGAGGUGGGUGGAUCUCUGUGAGUUCAAGGCCUGGUCUACAAAGUGAGUUCCAGGCCAGCUGGGGCUACAGAGAGACCCUGUCUCAAAAAGACAAAAAAUAAAUAAAUAAAUCAGAAUCAAGGGCUGGAGAGCUUGCACAGCCAUUAAAUAUUCAGGCUCACAACCAAAAAGACAAGAAUCAGAAUCAAUUCCAGCUUCACCUACUCACCUUAGACUUGACCUAUGGCUGAGUGAGAAUUAUACAGGGGUGUAACAGUAUAGGAGCAAGCCAGGAGUGGUAUUCAUGCAGCAAAGAGAAAUGAGAAGAAUCUGGAAACAGGACAUUGACAUGCCUAAUUUGUGCUAUUCUAAUGAUUCUUUAACCACUGAUGAAAACCCUUGAACCCCAAUUAUCCCUCAUUCCAUAUUACCAACAGCUCCUAAAAGAUUAUGCAAGAGUACUUGAAAUAAUUAUCCAUAGACCAGGAAAUUUCAAAGUAAAAACAUACAAAAUAUUAUCAUUUCAUUUUUCAGCCUCAGACACAGAAAGCACAAUAUCGUUAUUUGUUUUGUAGAGCAAAGUGGACACCAGGGGCGUUUCUAGGUGGCUAAGUCCACCAACUUUAGCACAAUAUCACAGAACUGAGUCUCAGCCCUGACUGGCUAUUGUACUUCUAUGAGUCUUACAGUCUCCCUUUGCUGGUGAUGGAGGUCCUCAGCAGGUGGUUGGAGCUGAGUGUGUCUACUUGCCACUUGGAACCACUCCUCCCAUUAAGUGGGAUGGCCCUUCAGGAAAUCCUUGGUUUGUAUGCUCCUGAGCAUAGGACAAACAAAACUCUGUUGUUUAAGAGCAUCAAUAACAAAAGCUUUUGUUCUUCCAAACCAAGACAGGAACUGUAGAUCUAUACAAAACCACUGAGUCUUAAGUGCCUAAGGAUGACAAGAAUGAGAUAUUAUUUUGGGCUGUCCAUCAGCACUAGUCACUCAGCCUUGUCGCCUAGCUUCAGAAAACAAUGACUCAAUAUGGCCAUUUUCUGAUAGGCUGCAGCCUUAGGAAAAUACUGUUCCACAUAUUUGGACCUAGGGCUCUUCCUGCAUUAAAAUAAAUGGAUGCCAUUCAAAACCCACUUAGCUUUCUCCCUUUCAAUCUUGCGCAUAGGAACACAGCUGUUUGUACUCAUAUAAUGAGAGGGAAAUGGAAACUCUGAAUGAACAAGAAAUCAAAGUACUUUUUUUUACUCCAUCCCAGGUGCUUGACAUGUGUUUCACUGCUUAAUUUGCCCAAUAACCUCUAAGAGGUUGGUAUCAUUAUCCUCGUUUUUAAUAAGAAUAAGGAAGUUUAAAUAAGUUUCCCUGAGGACAGAGUGUAGAAAAGAGGCAAGCUGGGAGUUAAAUUGGAAAGAGGUACACAUAGCUCCAAUAGUUCCUGUCAAGAUCUAUGUGAACAUAUAACCUUAUGUGAGUGUCAUCAUCCUGUUUAACACCCUGCUUAGCAUCACUAAAUAAUUUUGCAUGUUGGUAUCUGAAGGGCUACACUAUGGGUUUUGUUGACUACAUAGGAUUUUACAGUAGGUUUUAACUAUAAUUUAUUAUACCAAUCUCUUAUUGAUAAACAUAGAUGUUUCUGGUUUUCUUCCCACCACACGUGAAUACUCUCUGACAAGCAUAUAUAUAUAUAUAUGGUACUAUUAUGUCUGUGUAAUCAUCUCCUUGGGAUACGUCCUAGACUAAGAACUACUGAGUACAGAAACUAUGUAUUUUACACUGUGCUACUUAUCCAAAACGAUGUACCUGGUAGCUGCAAAAGCAAGCCAAUUUCCUCAAACUCAGAGGCACACCAGUUUUAAGCAGCCAUUUACACUCCUGACAAAAUGAUGAGGGGAGGGUGUGAUGGCAUUUUUAUUUUUAUUUGCAUUUCUGUGGUUAUUAAGGAGGCUAGGCAUCUUUUCCUAUGCAUUGAUCGCUUACAAUUCUUCCAUCAAGUCAUUAACCCUAUUCUCCUUCUACCCUCGUAUCAGAGUCCGAAUAAAAAAUCUUUUUCACA